CAUGUGAGGUGGAGGUUGACGGGGGGUUUGCAAGUAUAAACCACUGCAAACUCAUCGUCAGCCUUCUCACCUUUCAUG
rnacentral:pre_miRNA from 1 species